rnacentral:rRNA from 1 species
UACGUAGGGCGCAAGCGUUGUCCGGAAUUAUUGGGCGUAAAGAGCUCGUAGGCGGUUUUGUCGCGUCUGCUGUGAAAACCUAAGGCUCAACCUUGGGCUUGCAGUGGGGUACGGGCAGACUAGAGUGCGGUAGGGGGUGACUGGAAUUCCUGGUGUAGCGGUGGAAUGCGCAGAUAUCAGGAGGAACACCGAUGCGAAGGCAGGUCACUACAUAGUUUAUUGACACUGAGGCACGGAAAAGCCGUGGGGGAUCAAAACAGGGAUUUAGAA